rnacentral:rRNA from 1 species
GCCAGACUCCUACGGGAGGCAGCAGUGGGGAAUAUUGCACAAUGGGGGAAACCCUGAUGCAGCGACGCCGCGUGAGUGAAGAAGUAUUUCGGUAUGUAAAGCUCUAUCAGCAGGGAAGAUAAUGACGGUACCUGACUAAGAAGCCCCGGCUAACUACGUGCCAGCAGCCGCGGUAAUACGUAGGGGGCAAGCGUUAUCCGGAUUUACUGGGUGUAAAGGGUGCGCAGGUGGCAGGGCAAGUCAGAUGUGAAAGCCCGGGGCUCAACCCCGGUAUUGCAUUUGAAACUGUCCGGCUAGAGUGCAGGAGAGGUAAGCGGAAUUCCUAGUGUAGCGGUGAAAUGCGUAGAUAUUAGGAGGAACACCAGUGGCGAAGGCGGCUUACUGGACUGUAACUGACACUGAGGCACGAAAGCGUGGGGAGCAAACAGGAUUAGAUACCCUAGUAGA